rnacentral:rRNA from 1 species
GGGUUGUGAGGUUAAGCGACUAAGCGUACACGGUGGAUGCCCUGGCAGUCAGAGGCGAUGAAGGACGUGCUAAUCUGCGAUAAGCGUCGGUAAGGUGAUAUGAACCGUUAUAACCGGCGAUUUCCGAAUGGGGAAACCCAGUGUGAUUCGUCACACUAUCAUUAACUGAAUCCAUAGGUUAAUGAGGCGAACCGGGGGAACUGAAACAUCUAAGUACCCCGAGGAAAAGAAAUCAACCGAGAUUCCCCCAGUAGCGGCGAGCGAACGGGGAGCAGCCCAGAGCCUGAAUCAGUGUGUGUGUUAGUGGAAGCGUCUGGAAAGGCGUGCGAUACAGGGUGACAGCCCCGUACACAAAAAUGCACAUAUUGUGAGCUCGAUGAGUAGGGCGGGACACGUGGUAUCCUGUCUGAAUAUGGGGGGACCAUCCUCCAAGGCUAAAUACUCCUGACUGACCGAUAGUGAACCAGUACCGUGAGGGAAAGGCGAAAAGAACCCCGGCGAGGGGAGUGAAAAAGAACCUGAAACCGUGUACGUACAAGCAGUGGGAGCACGCUUAGGCGUGUGACUGCGUACCUUUUGUAUAAUGGGUCAGCGACUUAUAUUCUGUAGCAAGGUUAACCGAAUAGGGGAGCCGAAGGGAAACCGAGUCUUAACUGGGCGUUAAGUUGCAGGGUAUAGACCCGAAACCCGGUGAUCUAGCCAUGGGCAGGUUGAAGGUUGGGUAACACUAACUGGAGGACCGAACCGACUAAUGUUGAAAAAUUAGCGGAUGACUUGUGGCUGGGGGUGAAAGGCCAAUCAAACCGGGAGAUAGCUGGUUCUCCCCGAAAGCUAUUUAGGUAGCGCCUCGUGAAUUCAUCUCCGGGGGUAGAGCACUGUUUCGGCAAGGGGGUCAUCCCGACUUACCAACCCGAUGCAAACUGCGAAUACCGGAGAAUGUUAUCACGGGAGACACACGGCGGGUGCUAACGUCCGUCGUGAAGAGGGAAACAACCCAGACCGCCAGCUAAGGUCCCAAAGUCAUGGUUAAGUGGGAAACGAUGUGGGAAGGCCCAGACAGCCAGGAUGUUGGCUUAGAAGCAGCCAUCAUUUAAAGAAAGCGUAAUAGCUCACUGGUCGAGUCGGCCUGCGCGGAAGAUGUAACGGGGCUAAACCAUGCACCGAAGCUGCGGCAGCGACACUAUGUGUUGUUGGGUAGGGGAGCGUUCUGUAAGCCUGUGAAGGUGUACUGUGAGGUAUGCUGGAGGUAUCAGAAGUGCGAAUGCUGACAUAAGUAACGAUAAAGCGGGUGAAAAGCCCGCUCGCCGGAAGACCAAGGGUUCCUGUCCAACGUUAAUCGGGGCAGGGUGAGUCGACUCCUAAGGCGAGGCCGAAAGGCGUAGUCGAUGGGAAACAGGUUAAUAUUCCUGUACUUGGUGUUACUGCGAAGGGGGGACGGAGAAGGCUAUGUUGGCCGGGCGACGGUUGUCCCGGUUUAAGCGUGUAGGCUGGUUUUCCAGGCAAAUCCGGAAAACUAAGGCUGAGGCGUGAUGACGAGGCACUACGGUGCUGAAGCAACAAAUGCCCUGCUUCCAGGAAAAGCCUCUAAGCAUCAGGUAACAUCAAAUCGUACCCCAAACCGACACAGGUGGUCAGGUAGAGAAUACCAAGGCGCUUGAGAGAACUCGGGUGAAGGAACUAGGCAAAAUGGUGCCGUAACUUCGGGAGAAGGCACGCUGAUAUGUAGGUGAAGUCCCUCGCGGAUGGAGCUGAAAUCAGUCGAAGAUACCAGCUGGCUGCAACUGUUUAUUAAAAACACAGCACUGUGCAAACACGAAAGUGGACGUAUACGGUGUGACGCCUGCCCGGUGCCGGAAGGUUAAUUGAUGGGGUCAGCGCAAGCGAAGCUCUUGAUCGAAGCCCCGGUAAACGGCGGCCGUAACUAUAACGGUCCUAAGGUAGCGAAAUUCCUUGUCGGGUAAGUUCCGACCUGCACGAAUGGCGUAAUGAUGGCCAGGCUGUCUCCACCCGAGACUCAGUGAAAUUGAACUCGCUGUGAAGAUGCAGUGUACCCGCGGCAAGACGGAAAGACCCCGUGAACCUUUACUAUAGCUUGACACUGAACAUUGAGCCUUGAUGUGUAGGAUAGGUGGGAGGCUUUGAAGUGUGGACGCCAGUCUGCAUGGAGCCGACCUUGAAAUACCACCCUUUAAUGUUUGAUGUUCUAACGUUGACCCGUAAUCCGGGUUGCGGACAGUGUCUGGUGGGUAGUUUGACUGGGGCGGUCUCCUCCUAAAGAGUAACGGAGGAGCACGAAGGUUGGCUAAUCCUGGUCGGACAUCAGGAGGUUAGUGCAAUGGCAUAAGCCAGCUUGACUGCGAGCGUGACGGCGCGAGCAGGUGCGAAAGCAGGUCAUAGUGAUCCGGUGGUUCUGAAUGGAAGGGCCAUCGCUCAACGGAUAAAAGGUACUCCGGGGAUAACAGGCUGAUACCGCCCAAGAGUUCAUAUCGACGGCGGUGUUUGGCACCUCGAUGUCGGCUCAUCACAUCCUGGGGCUGAAGUAGGUCCCAAGGGUAUGGCUGUUCGCCAUUUAAAGUGGUACGCGAGCUGGGUUUAGAACGUCGUGAGACAGUUCGGUCCCUAUCUGCCGUGGGCGCUGGAGAACUGAGGGGGG